rnacentral:rRNA from 1 species
UACGUAGGUGGCAAGCGUUGUCCGGAUUUACUGGGCGUAAAGAGCGCGCAGGCGGUCGUUCAAGUCGCGUGUGAAAGCCCCCGGCUCAACUGGGGAGGGUCACGCGAUACUGAUCGACUCGAAGGCAGGAGAGGGUAGUGGAAUUCCCGGUGUAGUGGUGAAAUGCGUAGAUAUCGGGAGGAACACCGGUGGCGAAGGCGGCAUCCUGGACCGGCAGUUGACGCUGAGGAGCGAAAGCCAGGGGAGCAAACGGG